AAUGAGAGUUUGAUCCUGGCUCAGGACGAACGCUGGCGGCGUGCCUAACACAUGCAAGUCGAGCGAAGUAUUUAAAGAAGAUCCCUUCGGGGUGAAACUUUAAAUAUCUUAGCGGCGGACGGGUGAGUAACGCGUGAGAAACCUGCCUUUCACAAAGGGAUAGCCUCGGGAAACUGGGAUUAAUACCUUAUAAUGUUUCAUCUUAGCAUUAAGAAGAAACCAAAGCGCAAAGCGGUGAAAGAUGGUCUCGCGUCCCAUUAGCUUGUUGGUGAGAUAAAAGCUCACCAAGGCGACGAUGGGUAGCCGGCCUGAGAGGGUGAACGGCCACACUGGAACUGAGACACGGUCCAGACUCCUACGGGAGGCAGCAGUGGGGAAUAUUGCACAAUGGAGGAAACUCUGAUGCAGCGACG
rnacentral:rRNA from 1 species